ACACAUGCAAGUCGAGCGGUAGAGAGAAGCUUGCUUCUCUUGAGAGCGGCGGACGGGUGAGUAAUGCCUAGGAAUCUGCCUGGUAGUGGGGGAUAACGUUCGGAAACGGACGCUAAUACCGCAUACGUCCUACGGGAGAAAGCAGGGGACCUUCGGGCCUUGCGCUAUCAGAUGAGCCUAGGUCGGAUUAGCUAGUUGGUGAGGUAAUGGCUCACCAAGGCGACGAUCCGUAACUGGUCUGAGAGGAUGAUCAGUCACACUGGAACUGAGACACGGUCCAGACUCCUACGGGAGGCAGCAGUGGGGAAUAUUGGACAAUGGGCGAAAGCCUGAUCCAGCCAUGCCGCGUGUGUGAAGAAGGUCUUCGGAUUGUAAAGCACUUUAAGUUGGGAGGAAGGGUUGUAGAUUAAUACUCUGCAAUUUUGACGUUACCGACAGAAUAAGCACCGGCUAACUCUGUGCCAGCAGCCGCGGUAAUACAGAGGGUGCAAGCGUUAAUCGGAAUUACUGGGCGUAAAGCGCGCGUAGGUGGUUCGUUAAGUUGGAUGUGAAAGCCCCGGGCUCAACCUGGGAACUGCAUUCAAAACUGACGAGCUAGAGUAUGGUAGAGGGUGGUGGAAUUUCCUGUGUAGCGGUGAAAUGCGUAGAUAUAGGAAGGAACACCAGUGGCGAAGGCGACCACCUGGACUGAUACUGACACUGAGGUGCGAAAGCGUGGGGAGCAAACAGGAUUAGAUACCCUGGUAGUCCACGCCGUAAACGAUGUCAACUAGCCGUUGGAAUCCUUGAGAUUUUAGUGGCGCAGCUAACGCAUUAAGUGACCGCCUGGACACGCCAUGAAAAC
rnacentral:rRNA from 1 species